UAGCUUAUCAGACUGGUGUUGGCUGUUGGGUCGUCAUGGCAACAGCGGUCUGUAAGCUGUC
rnacentral:pre_miRNA from 1 species